rnacentral:rRNA from 1 species
CCUACGGGAGGCAGCAGUGGGGAAUAUUGGGCAAUGGACGCAAGUCUGACCCAGCAAAGCCGCGUGAAGGAAGAAGGCCUUCGGGUUGUAAAGUUCUUUUAUUAGGGACGUAAAAAGUGACGGUACCGCAGGAAUAAGCCUCGGCUAACUACGUGCCAGCAGCCGCGGUAAUACGUAGGCGGCAAGCGUUAUCCGGAUUUAUGGGGUUUAAAGGUAGUGUAGGUGGGUUGGCAAGUCAGAUGUGAAAUCUUGGGGGUUAACCCUGAGACUGCAUUUGAAACUGGUAGUCUUGAGUGCAGUAGAGGUAAGCGGAAUUCGUGGUGUAGCGGUGAAAUGCGUAGAUAUCAGGAGGAACCCCAGUGGCGAAGGCGGCUUACUAGACUGUAACUGACGCUGAGGCUCGAAAGUGUGGGGAGCAAACAGGAUUAGAUACCCGGGUAGUC